rnacentral:rRNA from 1 species
UGCACGCUGGCGGUAGGCCUAACACAUGCAAAUCGAACGGCAGCACAGUAAGAGCUUGCUCUUACGGGUGGCGAGUGGCGGACGGGUGAGGAAUACAUCGGAAUCUACUUUUUCGUGGGGGAUAACGUAGGGAAACUUACGCUAAUACCGCAUACGACCUACGGGUGAAAGCAGGGGAUCUUCGGACCUUGCGCGAUUGAAUGAGCCGAUGUCGGAUUAGCUAGUUGGCGGGGUAAAGGCCCACCAAGGCGACGAUCCGUAGCUGGUCUGAGAGGAUGAUCAGCCACACUGGAACUGAGACACGGUCCAGACUCCUACGGGAGGCAGCAGUGGGGAAUAUUGGACAAUGGGCGCAAGCCUGAUCCAGCCAUACCGCGUGGGUGAAGAAGGCCUUCGGGUUGUAAAGCCCUUUUGUUGGGAAAGAAAAGCAGCAGGUUAAUACCCCGCUGUUCUGACGGUACCCAAAGAAUAAGCACCGGCUAACUUCGUG